AGUGAACGCUGGCGGUAGGCCUAACACAUGCAAGCCGAACGGCAGCACAGUAAGAGCUUGCUCUUACGGGUGGCGAGUGGCGGACGGGUGAGGAAUACAUCGGAAUCUACUUUUUCGUGGGGGAUAACGUAGGGAAACUUACGCUAAUACCGCAUACGACCUACGGGUGAAAGCAGGGGAUCUUCGGACCUUGCGCGAUUGAAUGAGCCGAUGUCGGAUUAGCUAGUUGGCGGGGUAAAGGCCCACCAAGGCGACGAUCCGUAGCUGGUCUGAGAGGAUGAUCAGCCACACUGGAACUGAGACACGGUCCAGACUCCUACGGGAGGCAGCAGUGGGGAAUAUUGGACAAUGGGCGCAAGCCUGAUCCAGCCAUACCGCGUGGGUGAAGAAGGCCUUCGGGUUGUAAAGCCCUUUUGUUGGGAAAGAAAAGCGGCAGGUUAAUACCCCGCUGUUCUGACGGUACCCAAAGAAUAAGCACCGGCUAACUUCGUG
rnacentral:rRNA from 1 species